AGGCUGUGAUGAAUAAAAUUAUAUACCAUCAAACUAUGAGAGCUCAAAACUUGAGCUCGUUGAUGCCAUCUCAUAUUCCCUGAGCCC
rnacentral:snoRNA from 1 species